rnacentral:rRNA from 1 species
UACGUAGGGGGCAAGCGUUAUCCGGAUUUACUGGGUGUAAAGGGAGCGUAGGCGGCUUAUCAAGUUAGAUGUGAAAUCCCGCGGCUUAACCGCGGAACUGCAUCUAAAACUGGUAAGCUGGAGUGCAGGAGAGGUGAGUGGAAUUCCUAGUGUAGCGGUGGAAUGCGUAGAUAUUAGAGGAACAUCAGUGGCGAAGGCGACUUUCUGGACUGUAACUGACGCUGAGGCACGAAAGUGUGGGGAGCAAACAGG